CUACGGGAUGCACCAGUAGGGAAUUUUCGGCAAUGGGCGAAAGCCUGACCGAGCAAUGCCGCGUGAACGAUGAAGGCCUUCGGGUUGUAAAGUUCUGUUAUCAGGGAAGAAUAUACGGAUUAGGAAAUGACUCCGUACUGACGGUACCUGAUCAGAAAGCUCCGGCUAACUACGUGCCAGCAGCCGCGGUAAUACGUAGGGAGCAAGCGUUAUCCGGAAUUAUUGGGCGUAAAGCGUGCGUAGGCGGUUCGUUAAGUCAAAUCUGAAAGCCCACAGCUUAACGGUGGAGGGCGAUUUGAAACUGGCGAACUUGAGUACGGCAGAGGUUAGUGGAAUUCAAUGUGUAGCGGUGGAAUGCGUAGAUAUAUUGAGGAACACCAGUGGCGAAGGCGGCUAACUGGACCGGAACUGACGCUGAGGCACGAAAGCGUGGGGAGCAAACAGGAUUAGAUACCCGAGUAGUC
rnacentral:rRNA from 1 species